AGAAUCAACGCUGGCGGCGUGCCUAACACAUGCAAGUCGAACGAGAAAGGGACUUCGGUCCGUGAGUACAGUGGCGCACGGGUGAGUAACACGUGACUAACCUACCCUGGAGUGGGGAAUAACUGAGGGAAACCUUAGCUAAUACCGCAUAAUACCUACGGGUCAAAGGAGCAAUUCGCUUCAGGAGGGGUCGCGGCCGAUUAGCUAGUUUGGCGGGGUAAUGGCCCACCAAGGCAAUGAUCGGUA
rnacentral:rRNA from 1 species